rnacentral:rRNA from 1 species
AGCAGCCGCGGUAAUUCCAGCUCCAAUAGCGUAUAUUAAAGUUGUUGCAGUUAAAAAGCUCGUAGUUGAACUUCGGGGUUUACCCAUUGGUCAGGCUUAAUUGUCUGUACUGGUGAGAUAAAUCUCUACCUUCUGAGGAACUUUCAUGCCAUUUAUUUGGUGUGAUGGGAAAUCAGGACUGUUACUUUGAAAAAUUAGAGUGUUUAAAGCAGGCUAACGUCUGAAUACAUUAGCAUGGAAUAAUGAAAUAGGACGGACUGAUUCUAUUUCGUUGGUUUCUAGGAUCACCGUAAUGAUUAAUAGGGAUAGUUGGGGGCAUUAGUAUUCAAUUGUCAGAGGUGAAAUUCUUGGAUUUAUUGAAGACUAACUACUGCGAAAGCAUUUGCCAAGGAUGUUUUCAUUAAUCAAGAACGAAAGUUAGGGGAUCGAAGACGAUCAGAUACCGUCGUA